rnacentral:rRNA from 1 species
GUAGGGAAUAUUGGGCAAUGGAGGCAACUCUGACCCAGCCAUGCCGCGUGCAGGAUGACGGCCCUCUGGGUUGUAAACUGCUUUUAUACGGGAAGAAAAAAUACUACGUGUAGUAUACUGACGGUACCGUAAGAAUAAGGAUCGGCUAACUCCGUGCCAGCAGCCGCGGUAAUACGGAGGAUCCAAGCGUUGUCCGGAUUUAUUGGGUUUAAAGGGUGCGUAGGCGGAUCUUUAAGUCAGUGGUGAAAGCCUGCAGCUUAACUGUAGAAUUGCCAUUGAAACUGAAGAGCUUGAAUGUGGUUAAAGUAGGCGGAAUGUAUCAUGUAGCGGUGAAAUGCUUAGAUAUGAUACAGAACACCGAUAGCGAAGGCAGCUUGCUGAACCAUUAUUGACGCUGAGGCACGAAAGCGUGGGGAGCGAACAGGAUUAGAAACCCCUGUAGUCC